rnacentral:tRNA from 1 species
GCCUGGGUGGCUCAGUCGGUUGAGUGUCUGACUUCGGCUCAGGUCAUGAUCUCGCGGUCCGUGAGUUCAAGCCCCGCGUCGGGCU